AGCGAACGCUGGCGGCAGGCCUAACACAUGCAAGUCGAACGAAGUCUUCGGACUUAGUGGCGGACGGGUGAGUAACACGUGGGAACGUACCUUUUGGUUCGGAACAACUCAGGGAAACUUGAGCUAAUACCGGAUGAGCCCUUAGGGGGAAAGAUUUAUCGCCGAAAGAGCGGCCCGCGUUAGAUUAGCUAGUUGGUGAGGUAAAGGCUCACCAAGGCUACGAUCUAUAGCUGGUCUGAGAGGACGAUCAGCCACACUGGGACUGAGACACGGCCCAGACUCCUACGGGAGGCGGCAGUGGGGAAUCUUGCGCAAUGGGCGAAAGCCUGACGCAGCCAUGCCGCGUGAAUGAUGAAGGUCUUAGGAUUGUAAAAUUCUUUUACCAGGGACGAUAAUGACGGUACCUGGAGAAAAAGCACCGGCUAACUCUGUGCCAGCAGCCGCCGUAACAC
rnacentral:rRNA from 1 species